AGCUGGUCUAAAUGCAGUGGUAUUUACAACUAAUUAAUCACAACCAGUUAUGGGUUUCUUUGUUCCUUCUCCACUGCCACUGCUUCACUUGACUAGCUUAAA
rnacentral:Y_RNA from 1 species